ACGGGGUGCAGCAGGCGCGAAACCCCCGCAAUGCGGGAAACCGCGACGGGGUCAGCCGGAGUGCCCGCGCAUCGCGCGGGCUGUCGGGGAGCCUAAACAGCUCCCCAUAGCAAGGGCCGGGCAAGGCCGGUGGCAGCCGCCGCGGUAAUACCGGCGGCCCGAGUGGCGGCCACUAUUAUUGGGCCCAAAGCGUCCGUAGCCGGGCGGGUAAGUCCCCCGGGAAAUCUGGCGGCUUAACCGUCAGACUUCCGGGGGAUACUGCCCGCCUAGGGACCGGGAGAGGCCGGGGGAAUUCCCGGGGUAGGGGUGAAAUCCUAUAAUCCCGGGAGGACCACCUGUGGCGAAGGCGCCCGGCUGGAACGGGUCCGACGGUGAGGGACGAAGGCCAGGGGAGCGAACCGGAUUAGAUACCCGGGUAGUCCUGGCUGUAAACGAUGCGGGCUAGGUGUCACCGGAGCUACGAGCUCCGGUGGUGCCGGAGGGAAGCCGUUAAGCCCGCCGCCUGGGGAGUACGGCCGCAAGGCUGAAACUUAAAGGAANNGNCGGGGGAGCAC
rnacentral:rRNA from 1 species